CCAAUUAUACCACCGUGGUAUUACCACGCAUCCUUCCACAAAUCAGUGCUCAGUUGCGCCACUCCAUCAACCAUUCUGUGACCAGUAAUUAAAACUAACGUUGAUCUAUUGGGUCCUUUAAAGUAACCCAUGCUUGUGCGAUUCACGUUCCUGGCGCUUAUAAAGAGCCCUCACCCAAUUAUGCAACGUUGCCAGGUUUUCUACUAAGCUGUGUUCAAGGAAAUGGCAGAGCAGGAAGCGAAGAAGCUAGAAGCUGAAUCAUCGGUGAUAAAUACUCCGGCAACGGCGGAAGUUAAAGACGCCACGGCACAGCAGAAAUUAUUGUUCCACCGCCUGAAGAGAAGCCUGAUGAAUCCAAAGCUCUUGCCGUAGUCGAAAGUAAGCUCUCUCACCCCCUCGCAUUCUGUUUAUCUGAAACGAUAUCUUGCUAUCUCUGCUUAUAGAAAUUAGCUUUGAUUUUCUUAUUUUUUUGUCUUUUUAGAAAAUAAACUGAGAACAUUUGGCUGGUUUUCACAUCGACUGAAUGAAGAUAUAUAAUUAAUUUUGUUUUAAAUAUUUUCCCUUGUCUUUUUAUUUUCGAUGAUCCUCUGAUUAUGGCUUUUAGAGGAUUUAGACUGGAAAUGGCAUUUUCUUUCAACGAUUUCCUAUUCCUCUCUGUUAACGUCGUUUCACAUUCUUGUUUUGAGCACUCCCCUCCCUUGCCUUCUCUCUCUCUCCCUCCUUUUUUUUUUUUUUUUGUUUUUUUUUUGCUUAUCGGAUGAGCUACAAGCGAGGUAGUAUUUUUUGCUUAAAUUUUCACCACUCUUAUUUGAAAAGUUAUUUGCAUGAUUACUUCUGUUAUUUAUCUCGAUCUAAAUGAACUCGUAUUUAUUUUCAUUUUAUCAAUGUUUUUUAGAAGGAGAAUUUUCCUCUCCCAUAGUCAUCUAUGGCUAUGAAAUUUCCUAUUUUCACUUUGAAUACAUUUAGUACUAAAAACAUUAAAAAACAGAAAGGUUGUUUAGGGUCAUCUUUUGUAUUUCUUGAUACUUGAAAUUUAAUAUGGAGUUAGCAGUCGGUGGAUUUAAUUUAAAAUUAAAUUAAAUUAAAUUAAAUAAGUUAAAAAAUAAAAUUUUAAUAUUUAAAAAAAUUAAAUCAAAGUGAUUUUGAUAAGAAACUGAAUUUGAUACAGUUUAAUUUGAUUUGAUUUGAUCGGUUUGAAUUUUUAAUAAAUUUUUUAUUUUUUCUCUUUAUUUUUAGUAUUUUAAAAUUUAAUUAGAAUAUUUUAAUUUUAAUAUGAUCUAAUCUCUCUAUAUUAUUAUAAUAUACUAUUAUCACUAAUCGGUUCGAUUUGAUUUUUUAAAUUUUUUUUUAAUUAAAAUCGAAUCAAAUCGAAAUAAUUAAAAUUUUUAAAAUUAAAAAUUAAAUUAAAAUAAAUAAAAUAUUAAACUAAAAUUUUAAAUUAAUUCAAUUCAAUUAGUUUUUUCAAUUUAAAUUAAAUAACACUAACUCCAAUUCAAUACUAGAAAUUUAAUAUUCUCCUUGCACCUAUCCUUUAAUAAAAAAACUUUUCUGGCAUGGUUGUGCUCGGUUUUGCAAUUGGUGAGAAAGGAAGAUCAAGCUAUGGUGGUAAUAAUCUGUUGGGCUCUUUGGCAAGCAUGAUGUGGUCUAGUCUUCGAAGUGGUCGAGCCCUAUUGUUGUGGUGUAUCGGGCCAGGACAAUCCUCUAGGAUUGGUGUAAUGUGCGGCACGUUAAUGACAGUUCUUCUAAUGCUGUGCCAACUCCAUUCUUGAAAGCUAAUGUAGAUGCAACAAUCUUCCCCGAUGGCUUCAUUGGAAUUGGUGGAGUGCUUCGCUCAUAUGAUGGUUCUUUUGUUGGUGCUUGUCAACUUCAACUCCUUAGUUACUUCUCUCAUAAAAUAGCUGAGCUAAUUGCUAUUAGAGAAGUUUUGAGUUGGAUUAAGAGGGUGGGUUAUGAUCAAUUAGUGUUAGAAUAAGAUGCUCUUAUGGCAGUGAAACUUUGCUUUUUUCUUCGAGUUCUGUUUUUUUCUAAUUUUAGAUUUCUUGUUAAUGAUUAUAAAUCUCUAAUAGUAUAAAUGAAUUCAUUAUCUGUAAAUUUUAUUGUAAAUCUCUAAUAGUAUUGAUGAAAGUGAAUUUUGUUCUUCAAAUCUAACAAUAGUGUGACACAUUUUAUAAUUAGAAC
rnacentral:lncRNA from 1 species